rnacentral:misc_RNA from 1 species
AUUACUGGGCGUAAAGCGUGCGCAGGCGGUUCGGAAAGAGAAAGAUGUGAAAUCCCAGGCUUAACUUUGGAACUGCAUUUUUAACUACCGAGCUAGAGAGUGUGUCAGAGGGAGAACGGAAUUCCGCGUGUGGCAGUGAAAUGCGUAGAUAUGCCAGGAACACCGAUGGCGAGGCAGCCUCCUGGGAUAACACUGACGCUCAUGCACAGCGUGGGAGCAAACAGGAUUAGAUGCCCUGGUAGUCCGCCCUAAACGAUGUCAACUAGCUGUUAGGGCCUUCGGGCCUUGGUAGCGCAGCUAACGCGUGAAGUUGACCAUGCAAGUACGGUCGCAAGAUUAAAACUCAAAGGAACGGACGGGGACCCGCACAAGCGGUGGAUGAUGUGGAUUAAUUCCGAUGCAACGCGAAAACCUUACCUACCCUUGACAUGUCUGGAAUCCCGAAGAGAUUUGGGAGUGCUCGCAAGAGAACCGGAACACGGAGUGCUGCAUGGCUGUCGUCAGCUCGUGUCGUGAGAUGUUGGGUUAAGUCCCGCAACGAGCGCAAUAUAACGUCAUUAGUUGCUACGAGAGGGCAUCGUGAGGACUGUGACAAACCGGGAAGGUGGGGAUGACGUCAAGUCCUCACUUGAAGCAUAUAGGUAGGGCUUCACACGUCAUACAAUGGUCGGGACAGAGGGUCGCCAACCCCGCGAGGGAGCCAAUCCCAGAAACCCGAUCAUAGUCCGGAUCGCAGUCUGCAACUCGACUGCGUGAAGUCGGAAUCGCUAGUAAUCGCGGAUCAGCAUGUCGCGGUGAAUACGUUCAGAUCUUGUACACACCGCCGUCACACCAUGGGAGUGGGUUUACCCAGAAAUGUAGUUAGCCUAACCGUAAGGAGGGCGAUUACCACGGUAGGAUUCAUGACUGGGGUGAAGUCGUAUAGGUAG